rnacentral:rRNA from 1 species
AGUGAACGCUGGCGGUAGGCCUAACACAUGCAAGUCGAACGGCAGCACAGUAAGAGCUUGCUCUUACGGGUGGCGAGUGGCGGACGGGUGAGGAAUACAUCGGAAUCUACUUUUUCGUGGGGGAUAACGUAGGUAAACUUACGCUAAUACCGCAUACGACCUACGGGUGAAAGCAGGGGAUCUUCGGACCUUGCGCGAUUGAAUGAGCCGAUGUCGGAUUAGCUAGUUGGCGGGGUAAAGGCCCACCAAGGCGACGAUCCGUAGCUGGUCUGAGAGGAUGAUCAGCCACACUGGAACUGAGACACGGUCCAGACUCCUACGGGAGGCAGCAGUGGGGAAUAUUGGACAAUGGGCGCAAGCCUGAUACAGCCAUACCGCGUGGGUGAAGAAGGCCUUCGGGUUGUAAAGCCCUUUUGUUGGGAAAGAAAAGCAGCAGGCUAAUACCCAGCUGUUCUGACGGUACCCAAAGAAUAAGCACCGGCUAACUUCGUG